CAGCAGCCACGGUAAUACGUAGGGUGCAAGCGUUGUCCGGAAUUAUUGGGCGUAAAGAGCUCGUAGGCGGUCUGUCGCGUCGAAUGUGAAAAUCCGAGGCUCAACCUCGGACCUGCAUUCGAUACGGGCAGACUAGAGUUCGGUAGGGGAGUCUGGAAUUCCUGGUGUAGCGGUGAAAUGCGCAGAUAUCAGGAGGAACACCGGUGGCGAAGGCGGGACUCUGGGCCGAUACUGACGCUGAGGAGCGAAAGCGUGGGGAGCAAACAGGAUUAGAUACCCCCGUAGUCCCUGUCUCUUAUAC
rnacentral:rRNA from 1 species